GAGGAGAUCAUCGCUAAUUGUGAUGGUUUCAUUGUCAGGGCCCCUUUAUAUGUUUCUCCUCUUUAGUAUGUGUUCGCCUUCCAGAUUUUGACUGUUCAUUUUCUCUAGAAGAUUGCACUCUUGGUCAGAACACAAUUUCUAAUCCUAUGAUCUGGCGGUGGCUCAUCUUCAAGAUUCCUGUAUCUGCUUUUCUUGGGAGAUUAUCUUCAUUUCUGAAAAGAUAUACAAACUCAAUAGUGAUAAUAUUUCAUUUCUGGAAGAAUAUACAAGUUCAAUGGAAUAAACACAUUCAUACAUAUUUGAAUAUAUGAUGCAUGCCAAAUAGAUAUUUUUCAUUUUAAUAUUUGAGUUUAUUUUACCCUGCUCUUGGUAUAUUGGUAUUGGUCUCUUGGAUGCCUGGGACUAGUCUUUUGCCAUGGAAGUACAUUAUGCAUUUGCUCAGCCAGUCAGUCAGCCUUUCAUUCACUUCCUAUUAGCUUUUGUCGAAGUAAAAUUAGUAAAUAGAAUUGUUGUAUUGUAGUUCGCUUUCUUUCAUUGCACAAAUCAUAAGAUACUUGUACUGUGAAUUUAGCAGAUGAGUCCUUUGAUUCCCAAAUCAUUCUGUUGGCUUAAAGAUGACUCAAGACAUCAUCAUUUACAAAAUCAAUCAAAAAUAGCCUGUUUUUUUUAUUUAGAUGAUUAGUCACUCUUAGAGUAUAGCUAAAAUUUAU
rnacentral:lncRNA from 1 species